CUGGAAUCAUCGUGGUUUACAUGGUUCCCGUGUUGAAGUCAUGAGAGGUGGUUUGGAGGACAGGGAGAAGGCAGCCCACAAAGGACUCGCUGUAUUUGAUCAGUCGUCUGGCUCUUAUUCUUAUGGAAGCUACUGGGAGAUUCGAAAUUCUGACCAGAGAUUAACAUGAGUAAGACUGGAUUCAGGGAAGCAGCACCUCCUGCUCUGUCAGUGAUACCUAGAAGAGGCUCAGGAAAUGUUUCCUCAAGAAUGAAUCUAACAGGAUAGUUUGGCUCCCCGUCCCACCACCCUUUACAGACAGCGAAUCAAAAG
rnacentral:lncRNA from 1 species